ACGGAGGUCAUCGCCGUGGCAACAUGUAUGAAAGAACAUAUGCUCCCUUGGUGGUUUUGAUAAUUCAUGACAACAUACAUUGUCUCUUGGACUAACACUUUUACCUAGUAUAUUUCAGGUGUAGUCCACAUCGAGCUUCGGCUAUAGGAUUGUGUGGAGAUGGCCCUUUGAUUAAGGAAGGAUAUGAUUGGCUCAAGCUUCAAGCAAGAAGACUCUACAUUUUACAUUUGUGAAAAAUCACUUUGAGUCCAUAGGAAAGCCAAUAUAUUUAAAGGGGAUGAGGUGUUAAGAUGAAUUUGUUGGAAUUAUGCCCUAGAGGCAAUAAUAAAUAUAGUUAUUAUUAUAAUUCCUGUAUCAAGAUAAUCGUUUAUUAUCCAUGCUAUAAUUGUAUUGAAUGAAGACUCAUUUACAUGUGUGGAUACAUAGACAAAACACUGUCCCUAGCAAGCCUCUAGUUGGCUAGCUAGUUGACCAAAGAUAGUCAGUGUCUUCU
rnacentral:lncRNA from 1 species